CACUCCUGCGGGAGGCAGCAGUGGGGAAUAUUGGACAAUGGGCGCAAGCCUGAUCCAGCCAUGCCGCGUGAGUGAUGAAGGCCCUAGGGUUGUAAAGCUCUUUCACCGGUGAAGAUAAUGACGGUAACCGGAGAAGAAGCACCGGCUAACUUCGUGCCAGCAGCCGCGGUAAUACGAAGGGGGCUAGCGUUGUUCGGAUUUACUGGGCGUAAAGCGCACGUAGGCGGACUAUUAAGUCAGGGGUGAAAUCCCGGGGCUCAACCCCGGAACUGCCUUUGAUACUGGUAGUCUUGAGUUCGAGAGAGGUGAGUGGAAUUCCGAGUGUAGAGGUGAAAUUCGUAGAUAUUCGGAGGAACACCAGUGGCGAAGGCGGCUCACUGGCUCGAUACUGACGCUGAGGUGCGAAAGCGUGGGGAGCAAACAGGAUUAGAUACCCUUGUAGUCCCAUG
rnacentral:rRNA from 1 species